AUAAUCAAUGGUAGGAUACUACGUCAUCGCGCACCUGCUGAAUGCUCCCACUUGGACCAUUUUUUCGUCGAUUCGAAGAUCACUUCUUACGUCGUUGGGCAGGACCCGGUGCCAUGGCAAAGUUUCAACUGACAGGAUCACUUUACAAAAAGGUGCACUUGGCUUGUGUUGGAUUCGAAGGGAUGAUUCAAAAUUAUUGCCAACAACAAAGAUAGGACUAUAAGACUUUAAAUGGACAGUUUGGAUCUCAAGAAUAAAGUUUUUUUGAGAUGUUAAAACAAUGGUGGUGUUUUAUAAAGAAGUCAUUAUACAUGGUUUAGUACCAUGCUGGAUUAAGAUUCUGUUGGACUCGUACACAUAUUAGAGGCCUGCAUUUAUUCAAUAAUUGCUGAUCUUGUUAAUAAUUUAAAACCCAAUGAAUUGCGUGUUUGUUAAACUUGUGAUUUAGAUUUUAUAGCAUUAUAAUAGUACGUUUAUGAACAUAAAGAAGUCAAUAUCUAUCGGUUGAUUUGAAUAGUUUAUUAAAGAACAACAUGUGAAUCAUUUUUGUCAUGAACUGGUUAAAAAGUCAAUGUACUGCCAUACCAUGGCAUAUAAAGCAUGCAUCACAGUUAUUGACAACUUUGACAUUUUUAAAUAUGAAAGUUAUCAUAUGUACGUAUUUUUACCUAAAAUAACAUAAUUAAAUAGAUAAGAAAACAAA